ACUCAUCCGAGGCCCCGUAAUCGGAAUGAGAACACUCUAAAUCCUUUAACGAUGAUCUAUUGGAGGGCAAGCCUGGUGCCAGCAGCCGCGGUAAUUCCAGCUCCAAUAGCGUAUAUUAAAGUUGUUGCGGUUAAAAAGCUCGUAGUUGGUUCUGCGUGCCACGCUGUCGGUUCACCGCCUGCCGGUGCAACUGGCAUGCCGUGGCAUGUCCUGUCGGUGGCGGAUAGGCCUCCCGGCGUGCCCUAUGCGGUAUACCAGCGUGUAGGCUGCUGCUCCGGGGGUGCCUUGUACGCCGACUCAAUCCUACCGCGGUGCUCUUUACCGAGUGUCGAGGUAGGCCGACACUGUUUACUUUGAACAAAUUAGAGUGCUUCAAGCAGGCUCUUAAAUCAGCCUGAAUAGUGGUGCAUGGAAUAAUGGAACAGGACCUUGGUUCUAUUUUGUUGGUUUCCGGAAUCCAAGGUAAUGAUCAAUAAGGACAGGCGGGGGCAUUCGUAUUGCGACGUUAGAGGUGAAAUUCUUGGAUCGUCGCAAGACGCACUAAAGCGAAAGCAUUUGCCAAGUAUGUCUUAAUUGAUCAAGAACGAAAGUUAGAGGUUCGAAGGCGAUCAGAUACCGCCCUAGUUCUAACCAUAAACGAUGCCAGCCAGCGAUCCGCCGACGUUCCUCCGAUGACUCGGCGGGGAGCUUUCCCCGGGAAACCAAAGCUUUUGGGUUCCGGGGGAAGUAUGGUUGCAAAGCUGAAACUUAAAGGAAUUG
rnacentral:rRNA from 1 species